rnacentral:lncRNA from 1 species
AUAAGGAUGAUUGACAAUGUUAGUGUAUUAGGAUGUUGAUUGUUCGAAUUGAGAAAAGAUGUUCAUCUGGUAAUUCAUCCUUUAAUGGUAAAGGCUCCUUGCUUAGAGGCGAGAGAUUGACAUGGUCAGCAACUCGAUUCUCCAUACCUUUUUUAUCUCAUAUUUUUAUAUCAAACAUCUAUAGAAAGAGUAUCCACUAGAUUAACCUUGGUUUUGUCUUUUUCUAUUUCAGUAAGUACUUCAAUACUACAUGGUCCGAGAACAUAAAUGACCUUAGUACCUAGCAAGUAGGAAUGACAUUUGUCCAAGGCAAAAAUGACAGCCAAUAAUUCUUUUUUUGUGGUUGAGUAAUU